CGGAUCUUUGAUAGACUGGAGUGUCGCCGCUGCCACCGUGAGUUGGUGAAAGUCCUGAACUUUGUCUCCCCACCCAGAGGACAACUGGCCAGGAAAUCUGCCUGUUUCUUGUCUCACCCUCUAGUCCACACUCUGCCUAACGCUACGCCCUACCUCACAUUCCUAUUGACAUCUGCUGCAGGUAAUCUCUCCUCACCCAGGCCAACGUCCACAAGCCUGCCUCCCUACUUCACAGAGACUUCCUAGCUUCCCUGCUUCAUCCCCACCUGAUCCAAAUUCUCACAGGUCCCCCAGCCACCCCUUCAGCCCCAGGCCUGCACCAUCCCCAUCCACGUCGUUGUCACAGGCAUCUCCUUCCCCAUUGCCAUCUGUGUCCUUCUGGUCAUUGUUGGGAACGUUGGGGCAAUUGUCACAGGCAUCACCAAAUGAAUCUGUAUCUGAGUUCUGCUGGUCUUUGUUGGGGAACAGCCGGCAGUUGUCCUGGGCAGAGGGGUGGGAGGGGAAGGGUCAGGUCUCCCCUAAAUCACUUGUCAUCUUGCACCUACCUUGUCUCUGUAUCCUUUUCUAAGAUCACACCCUUGUGAUGGACAAACUGCUCAGUACAGUCCCACCCACCCAGCCUCCUUGUCCUGGGCACGAGGUUUUUGCCUCCCUGAUUUGGAGUAUUGGGCCCUUACUAGAGAGCUGCCAGAUGAGGUAAGUGAGGCAUGGAGAGGACAGGAGGAGGGGAGAGGAGCUUCAAGGGGCAGGGCAGUCUGGGAGUCACCUCAACAUUCUUGAUCCCAUCCCCAUCAGCAUCAUCAUCACACUGGUCCCCCACACCAUCAUUAUCAGCAUCUUCCUGCCCAGAGUUGGGUGUCAAAAGGCAGUUGUCCUAAAGUUCAGGGGAAGAGGAUGGAUGAGUUCUGGCCUGACCCAGCUUGGGCUCCCCACUACGCCCCCUUGCCCGCCUGCUCCCUGCACCUGUUUGCAGUGUUUGUUGUUGUCCAUGCAGGGCAGUGCUUGGUCUGGGUAGCCAUCGAUGUCUGUGUCAGUCCCACACACGUUCCCAUUCCCAGCCCAGCCCACGUUACACUAGGGCAACACAAAGGGUAGGAGCUAGCAGUUUGGUCUGGCUCCCCUCCUCCCUCUAUUUUCCCUGCUUCAGG
rnacentral:lncRNA from 1 species